GAUGAACGCUGGCGGCGUGCCUAAUACAUGCAAGUCGAACGGAGAAUGUAGCAAUAUAUUCUUAGUGGCGAACGGGUGAGUAACGCGUUGGUGACCUGCCCCGAAGCGGGGGAUAGCAGUCCGAAAGGAUUGCUAAUACCCCAUGUGGUCUCUUGGAUUAGAUGCCGGAUGACUAAAGGAGAAAUUCACUUCGGGAGGGGCCUGCGUCCCAUCAGCUAGUUGGUAGGGUAAUAGCCUACCAAGGCUAUGACGGGUAGGGGACCUGAGAGGGUGACCCCCCACACUGACACUGAAAUACGGGUCAGACACCUACGGGUGGCAGCAGUAGGGAAUAUUGGUAAUGGGCGAAAGCCUGAACCAGCAACGCCGCGUGUGCGAUGAAGGCCUUCGGGUUGUAGAGCACUUUUUGAGGGGAUGAGGUAGGACAGUACCCUCAGAAUAAGUCUCGGCUAACUACGUGCCAGCAGCCGCGGUAACAC
rnacentral:rRNA from 1 species